rnacentral:rRNA from 1 species
GGGGCAGCGGAGGCAGUAGCAAUACUGCCUGCCGGCGACCGGCGCACGGGUGAGUAACACGUAUGCAACCUACCCUUGUCAGGGGGAUAAGCCGGAGAAAUCCGGUCUAAUACCGCGUGACAUCGGGAUUCCGCAUGGGAUUCCGAUCAAAGGAGCAAUCCGGACAAGGAUGGGCAUGCGGCGCAUUAGCUAGUUGGCGGGGUAACGGCCCACCAAGGCGACGAUGCGUAGGGGUUCUGAGAGGAAGGCCCCCCACACUGGUACUGAGACACGGACCAGACUCCUACGGGAGGCAGCAGUGAGGAAUAUUGGUCAAUGGGCGCGAGCCUGAACCAGCCAAGUCGCGUGAGGGAAUAAGGUCCUAUGGAUUGUAAACCUCUUUUGUCGGGGAGCAAUGAGCGUCACGCGUGAUGCGUUGAGAGUACCCGAAGAAAAAGCAUCGGCUAACUCCGUGCCAGCAGCCGCGGUAAUACGGAGGAUGCGAGCGUUAUCCGGAUUUAUUGGGUUUAAAGGGUGCGUAGGCGGGGAGCCAAGUCAGCGGUAAAAUCGUGGGGCUCAACCCCAUCCCGCCGUUGAAACUGGUUUUCUUGAGUGGAUGAGAAGUAUGCGGAAUGCGUGGUGUAGCGGUGAAAUGCAUAGAUAUCACGCAGAACUCCGAUUGCGAAGGCAGCAUACCGGCAUCCAACUGACGCUGAAGCACGAAGGCGUGGGUAUCAAA